GUAUUGCUGAAGAGUCCCAAACUAGGACGAAACAGUCGUCCAGUAC
rnacentral:hammerhead_ribozyme from 1 species